CCCAGUACAAAACACCCGAACAACCAUACUAUCUCGCUGCUGGAAUCGCUCGAAUCGAAUGACGUCAGUUCUGGCGGUAGGCGGUAGUCGGUAGUCGAUAGUCGGUAGUCGGCUUCUUUCGGUUCCCCCCGCCAAACAUUGAUAGGGUGACCGUGCCCAUGCCACUACUCUAUUGGUAAUUUUAAAUUAUUGAUAAUCCAAAUAUGUAGGACCCCUUCAGCGUUCUAGAGCGUCCGACCACAAGUACUUAUUAAGAUCGUAUGAUCCAUUUUUCUGCGCACAUAAACUUACUUGUUUGCCACACGGAAAACGUUCUCUCCACAAUCCAAAAAUCAGCUCAAACGAACCGCCUUUUGGGUGUGGGGGAAUCUCAGAGGUCGCCUCUCGGAAAAAAGGUUUGCACAAAUAUUUCCGCACACUCGGAUGCUCCGCGGGAAGUUCAAAUGCAAAUGCUUUUGCGGCUUUUGCUGCUUUUGUUGUUGAAAUUAUUGCCGGACAAUUGUUGGGGCGCUUUGUUUGGGGGGCGCUCGAGGGCCUUUU